rnacentral:ncRNA from 2 species
CGUGUGGUGUCCGGCUCCGGGCCUGGAUAGCGACACGGCCUUUGAGAGGU